rnacentral:misc_RNA from 1 species
GAUGAAGAACGUAGCGAAAUGCGAUACUUGGUGUGAAUUGCAGAAUCCCGUGAACCAUCGAGUCUUUGAACGCAAGUUGCGCCCGAAGCCAUUAGGCCGAGGGCACGCCUGCCUGGGUGUCACACAUCGUUACCCCAACGCAAACAUGUAACAAUGUUGCUGCGCGGGGUGUAUGCUGACCUCCCGCGAGCACCCGCCUCGUGGUUGGUUGAAAUCUGGGUUCAUGGCCGACUUCGCCGUGAUAAAAUGGUGGAUGAGCCACGCUCGAGACCAAUCACGUGCGAGCCGGUCAGUUCUGGACCCAUCGACGACCCUUUGCGUGCACGCACGCUCCCAACGAGACCUCAGGUCAGGCGGGGCUACCCGCUGAGUUUAAGCAUAUCAUUAAGCGGAGGA